AUUGAACGCUGGCGGCAUGCUUUACACAUGCAAGUCGAACGGUAACAGGCCGCAAGGUGCUGACGAGUGGCGCACGGGUGAGUAAUGCAUCGGAACGUGCCCAGUCGUGGGGGAUAACUACUCGAAAGAGUAGCUAAUACCGCAUACGAUCUAUGGAUGAAAGCGGGGGACCGUAAGGCCUCGCGCGAUUGGAGCGGCCGAUGUCAGAUUAGGUAGUUGGUGGGGUAAAGGCUCACCAAGCCAACGAUCUGUAGCUGGUCUGAGAGGACGACCAGCCACACUGGGACUGAGACACGGCCCAGACUCCUACGGGAGGCAGCAGUGGGGAAUUUUGGACAAUGGGCGCAAGCCUGAUCCAGCAAUGCCGCGUGCAGGAAGAAGGCCUUCGGGUUGUAAACUGCUUUUGUACGGAACGAAACGGCUCUGGUUAAUACCCGGGGCUAAUGAGGGUACCGUAAGAAUAAGCACCGGCUAACUACGUG
rnacentral:rRNA from 1 species